rnacentral:rRNA from 1 species
GACGAACGCUGGCGGCGUGCUUAACACAUGCAAGUCGAGCGGUAAGGCCCUUUCGGGGGUACACGAGCGGCGAACGGGUGAGUAACACGUGGGUGACCUGCCCUCAGCUCUGGGAUAAGCCCGGGAAACUGGGUCUAAUACCGGAUAUGACUUACAUGACGCAUGUUGUGGAGUGGAAAGCCGUUGUGCGGCUGGAGGAUGGGGCCCGCGGCCUAUCAGCUUGUUGGUGGGGUGANGGCCUACCAAGGCGACGACGGGUAGCCGGCCUGAGACGGG